rnacentral:rRNA from 1 species
UACGUAGGCAGCAAGCGUUGUUCGGAGUUACUGGGCGUAAAGAGUGCGUAGGUGGUGCCCUAAGUCUGUUGUGAAAUCUCCCGGCUUAACUGGGAGGGUGCGGUGGAAACUGGGGUGCUUGAGUGUGGGAGAGGUAAGCGGAAUUCCUGGUGUAGCGGUGAAAUGCGUAGAUAUCAAGCGGAACACCAGUGGCGAAGGCGAGUCCCUGGACAACUCCUGACACUGAGGCACGAAAGCUAGGGGAGCAAACAGG